rnacentral:rRNA from 1 species
UACGUAGGGCGCAAGCGUUAUCCGGAAUUAUUGGGCGUAAAGAGCUCGUAGGCGGCUGCUCAAGUCGAAUGUGAAAACUCGAGGCUCAACCUCGAGCCUGCAUUCGAUACUGGGCGGCUAGAGUCUGGUAGGGGGAUCUGGAAUUCCUGGUGUAGCGGUGGAAUGCGCAGAUAUCAGGAGGAACACCGGUGGCGAAGGCGGGAUCCUGGGCCAGUACUGACGCUGAGGAGCGAAAGCGUGGGGAGCAAACAGG